UACGUAGGGUGCAAGCGUUAAUCGGAAUUACUGGGCGUAAAGCGUGCGCAGGCGGUUUUGUAAGUCAGAUGUGAAAUCCCCGGGCUUGACCUGGGAACUGCGUUUGAAACUACAAGGCUAGAGUGUGGCAGAGGGGGGUGGAAUUCCACGUGUAGCAGUGAAAUGCGUAGAGAUGUGGAGGAACACCGAUGGCGAAGGCAGCCCCCUGGGUUAACACUGACGCUCAGGCACGAAAGCGUGGGGAGCAAACAGG
rnacentral:rRNA from 1 species